rnacentral:rRNA from 1 species
UACGUAGGGUGCGAGCGUUGUCCGGAUUUAUUGGGCGUAAAGAGCUCGUAGGCGGUUUGUCGCGUCGGCCGUGAAAUCUCCACGCUUAACCUGGGAACUGCAUCCGAUACUGGAUGGCUUGAAUUCGGGAGAGGGAUGCAGAAUUCCAGGUGUAGCGGUGAAAUGCGUAGAUAUCUGGAGGAAUACCGGUGGCGAAGGCGGCAUCCUGGACCGACAUUGACGCUGAACGGCGAAAAGCUAGGGGAGCAAACGGG